rfam:Triticum urartu cultivar G1812 contig393012, whole genome shotgun sequence.
GUAGUACUUCCUCCGUCCGGAAAUACUUGUCAUCAAAAUGAAUAAAAGGGGAUGUAUCUAAAUGUAUAUUAGUUCUAGAUACAUCUUUUUUAUCCAUUUUGAUGACAAGUAUUUUCAGAUGGAGGGAGUACUUG